AAUCCUUGCCAAUCCCCUCCAAUCCUCUUGGAAGGAGGAUUAACCGAACAAGCCCUAAGCGGUGACGGUUCGUGAGUGGAUCAUCCUUUCUCGACUCGGGAGACGAACCUGUGGCGUCGCCGCCGCCAUCCUCGCUGCUCCCCUCAAGUAUUGCCCCGUCGCCUCUUGUCCUCCUCUCUGCUGCAGAGCUUCUCUUCUCUCCUCGGUUCCUCAUCUCUAUCGAUCUGGCGAUGCGAAGGGGACUAACCCUGGUUGCGCCGCCGCCAUCGGUGAGAUCCUGCCUCUCCUUCCGCCGCUGCCUUCACUUCCCGGCCCCAAUUCCCAUCAUGCCCACCUUCACGCGCAACACACCAUCCCCCCGAUCGCGAGCUAUGGUGAAACCUCGAUGCAUCGCCACUGCUGCUUUCUUCGCCUCCGAGGUCCGUCGUGAUGCUCCGAUUUGAUCGACGGCGCACUCCCUGGAAGUCCGCCAGGCUUUGGGAUACCGAGAUGAGAAGGCAUGCUAAUUUGCAUGGCUGCAGAAGAAAGGAGUAACUGUCUAACUGAUCAUUAAAGUUCAAGAUAUCAUGAGUUCAUGACCCAAAUAAUGGUUGGUGAAACUGCUCGCAACUGAAGGAGGUAAGUAGUCUGUCUAAUCAAUAAUUGUCCCUGUAGUCAAUAUCUUUUUACCCAUUGCUUGAAAGAAUGAGGAUAUGCAGGUAUUUUUGGUUGAUGAAACACAGUGGCAUUCACCAGCUGUUAUAAAAUGCCCCAACAAUUCAUAUGUAAGAAUUGCUCUGGUCAUAGAUGGUGUGAACAUUUGUUAGCUCUAAUUUUGCAGGCACAAGUAAGAAAUAUCUCUGAACUUGUAUGUUGUAUUUGGUUCUUUUGUAGUUCCUGCUGGUUGGCAAUAUUCUUCCAGACUGAGUACCUCUGGUCUAUCAACAUAGCAGAUUAUGGAUCUGUAGCAACUUAGAUACAAGCAUAUUUACAUAGAAGAACUGUAUCAAAGGGUUCUGUAGGGAUUUCUCCAUACUGCAUUGUUGUAUCAUAACUUCGUAAGCAGAGCAUGCCCAUCUAAUAAUCUUCAUCAUGAUCUCUCUCCGCCAAAAAUAGGGAAGGAGCUAGGAGGCAUGAAGAAGUUCCAAGCAGCCUGUCUCUGAUCUCUCUUGGACGUUCAACCAGGGUAGCACAAACAAGAGAAGACUAUAGACAAGGUCUUUCAUUCUUGAUCUAUGUCUCUCUUAUAGAAUGAAUUCAGUUUAGGCCACUACGGGACCUUUUGGUAUAGAUUCACUUGUUAUUCAAAGAUUUGUGCACAUGAAUUUCCAUAAUGUUUUGCAUUGAAUAUUUUAGCAUGUUUGAA